rnacentral:sRNA from 1 species
AUGGCUGUCGUCAGCUCGUGUCGUGAGAUGUUGGGUCAAGUCCCGCAACGAGCGCAACCCUCGUCGUAUGUUGCCAGCAUUUAGUUGGGGACUCAUACGAGACUGCCGGUGACAAACCGGAGGAAGGCGGGGAUGACGUCAAGUCCUCAUGCCCCUUAUGUCCAGGGCUACACACGUGCUACAUUGGCGCAUACAAACGGCUGCGAUACCGCGAGGUGGAGCGAAUCCGAAAAAGUGCGUCUCGGUUCGGAUUGGAGGCUGAAACUCGCCUCCAUGAAGGCGGAGUUGCUAGUAAUCCCGAAUCAGCAACGUCGGGGUGAAUACGUUCCCGGGCCUUGUACACACCGCCCGUCACACCACGAAAGCGGGCAACACCCGAAGCCGGUGGCCUAACCCGUAAGGGAGGGAGCCGUCGAAGGUGGGGCUCGUGAUUGGGGUGAAGUCGUAACAAGGUAGCCGUACCGGAAGGUGCGGCUGGAUCACCUCCUUUCUAGGGAGCUCCUUAACUAGGGAGCGGGCCGCGGGUCAUAUACCCGUAGCCCUCCUAGCAUGUCGACCGAGCCUGGACCGACGCGUCUUCCCUCUCGAGGGCCGGCGCGUUGCACGCUGUUGAGUUUUGAGAGACCGGUCGUCGGAGUCCCCGGCGUCGGCGUUCCUCGCCGGACCUUGAAAACCGCAAAUGUUGGCCAAUUUAGAAACGGGUAUCACCAGAACCGGGCGGCUUUCCGCGUCCGGUUCGAUCACCGUCAAGAUAGUAAGGGCACACGGUGGAUGCCUUGGCACCAGGAGUCGAUGAAGGACGUGGACGGCUGCGAUAAGCCGCGGUUAGGCGCUGAACAGCCAUUGACCCGCGGAUUUCCGAAUGGGGAAACCCGG